UUUCAACAGUCAAAUCCACCAAGCACAUUAUUGCCCCAUCACAAGCACCAUCACAGUACACUGUACUUCCUCCUGCAAGUGCACCUUUUCCUAUUACUGUUCCAUCAGAAUAUGUUAUGGCCAAGCAGCUAUGUCAGGACACAAGGAAACCUGAAUUGUGCAACAAAGUUAUCCUAGGUGGUAAGAUUGAUCCAGUCACUGAGGCCAAGCUUACCAUUGAGUUAACCUCAUCCUUGGCAUUAAGGGCGAGUGCAUACAUGUCAAAGAUAUCAACUCGUAAGGAUCUUGCAUCAGGUACCUUGAAUAGUUGCAUGUUGAGUUAUCAGAAAGCUAUUACUGCCUUGAACCUUUCAUAUAUUAACAUUCAAAGCAACCCCAACAAUGCCAUUCAGAGUCUCAGAAAGGCUGAUUAUCAUGUUGGAUUUUGUACUGCUUCUUUAGGUCAAAAAAAUGAUAUUCCUCCCGUUCUAAAGGCCAAUAAAGCGAUGCAAGGUAUGAUCCAAGCAAUACGAUCAGUUGCUAAGAAACAAGCAAACUAAGUAACAUAUGGCCAAGUUGUGUCCAUUUAGCCUUGUUUUUGAGAGAUGGGGAAAUGGGAUAAUAUUCUUAUUUAUUUGUACUAUUUUCUCUGAAGAGAGAUUAAACAAAUGGAAAUGAAAAGUAUUAUAUAAACAAUCAUUUUCGGGUCCCUAACUUAGUUUGUCUUCUUCUUAAAUUUGGUCACUUUACAGUCACAACGACAAUUGUGUAAAAUAGUUGGAUAAUACGAUUGAUGCAGUCACAAUAAUGAUCACGCUAUCAUUAUGGGGACAAAGGAAACCCCUCAAUACGAUGGCUGGUGCAAUUUAAAAUACAUUGACUUUGCUCUUUGCUUUUUGCUUUUGUGUCACGUGUCUCUCUAAGUGAGCCACAUGUCUCUUUAUAAUUGUGUCAUGUUAACAAAAGUUAGAGUCAUCGAGUAAGGUGUGAUAGGAAACAAAGUUGUGAACCAAAUUAAGAAUGAACCAGAUCAACAAAAAAAAAAUUUGGAAAACCAAAAAUGGGUUUUCUCUAUUUAUUUAAAUAAAUAUAAUUUAGGUUGGGUUUGUUUGACAAUUUUUUCUUUAUUAACUAAUAGGAGACUCAUGCAUUCGCACAUGUGAAAUGAUGUUUGUAUAUUUGUUAAUUUAAAAGUUAUUGAUGAUUACCUCAUGAGAAAUGAUUUUUAUGUAUUUGUUUGAUGAAUUAGAGAUAUUGAUAAAUGACAUGAUAUAUAAUAUGUUAUUUAAAAUAAAGAAAAUAUUGUUACGAAAAUAAAUUUAGAAGAGAAUAUAAGGUGCGUUGUAAAAUAUUUAUUAGAGAUUUUGGAAAACUUCUUUAUAAAUUACAUUUGUUGGUGUUUGUAGUUAUUGACCAUCUUUGUUAUAUAUUAAUAUCUUCAAUCCAUUUUUGUUUUGAACUCUUCAAACAGCUAUACGCACAAUGACUAUAACUAAACACUAGUCUAGAUAGAUAUAAUCCCUCACUUUGUAAGGAUUGACCUCGAGAUUUAUUUAUCGUCAUAGCGAGGGAUGGUGACAUGUGGUGGUGAGUGCAAUUGAUUUUUUUAAAUUAUAUAUUUUUUUAGAGAAAAAUGUAUACAUGAACAGUGUAAGAUUUUUAUACAUUGUCAUCAUACUGCACAACAUACACCAUUCAUUUUUAAUCAUCAUUGAUUCCUCCAAAAUAGUAAUUCAAAUUAUUGGUGAACGAUGCAUCGUGUAUAAAUCUUUACUCUUAGUGCAUAAAUAUUACAUUCUAUUUUGUAAUCCUUAAUAUUAUACAUAUUAUUUUUAAUAAAAAAAUUAUAUAUUACCUACAUACAAGAAAUUUACUCAAGAAAAGAAAGGUCAACAUAAAUUAGAAGUUAAAACUUUAAAUAACACAUAAAUGUGAGGGUUUCUAUUUCAUACAUAGACCAAGUAUUGCUUUCAAAUGCUGUUUUAUUUCUAAGCUAGUUAAUUUUUUAUAUAGCCCUUUAGCAUUUUCUAUUUCAUUUUCUAUUUUGCAUUUCAUUUUCUAUUUUGCAUUUCAUUUUUUCUAUUAUCUUUUUUUUAUCGGCAAUUCAUUUAAUAAAUAAGAAAAUUAGUGAGGGUUAAGAGAACAAGUGGUACUCCUAUCCACAAGGACAUUACACAAUACAACUCAGACAGCUAGAAGGGCUCCAAACCCAUUCCAUAGAGGAGAAAGUAAAACUAGAAAAACAAGCAUUAAAAAGGUUCCAAGAUUGAAGAUGAAUGGAGUAUAUUAUCUCAUCUAGAUUAAAAGUAGAAUGCUAAAAAAUGACCUUGAUUCUAUCCAACCAAAGUGGUCAAAUAGUAACAAACCAAAUAGACAUCCAUUAUUGAUGAAGCUUUUUUCCAACCAAAACAAAUUCCAAUGAGCAAGAAAGUUGCCCUUGACACCAUUGGGCAUAACUGAACAAGCCCGAACCAAGAGUAGAGUUUUUGCCAAACACCAUAAGAAGAAGGGAAAGUGAAAAACAAAUGGUCAAUGGAUUCUUCCAUCAUACCAUAGAAAGCACACCAUGUUGGAACUGGAUCACCUAGAGCUCCACAUCUAACUAGAUUCAAAUGAGUAGGCACUCCAUCUAAGGACAUUCUCCAUACUAAGCAUCUCAAUUUUGAAGGAACAUUGCAAGCCCAUAAUCUUUUAUAGAAACCAUUAUCAAUAUUUGUAACCUCAUUCUGAAGCACCUUGUAAGCAUUUCGAAUUGAAUAUAAACCACCCUUAUCAUGAACCCAUAGUCACCCAUCAUCAAGGUCUUGGACAAGUCUCGCAUCCUACAAGAAUUUAAGAAGUUUUCAACUUCUCCUUGUUCCCAGAAAAACAAGUUCCUUUGCCAAUUUAAAGACUAGCACCAGACACCAUCCCUCCAUUCUUCCAAGGAGCUAAUACUAGCAUCUUUGUCUAUGGCCACCUGAAACAAUCUUUCAAAAUAAUUUUUAAGGCAACUACCCCCCACUCAAAGAUCUCUCAAAAAUAUAAUGGACUGACCAAAGCCAACUCUCAUAUGGACACCCUCGUUAAACCACCCAUUGUGUAUCACAUUUUCUCUAUUGUUAAGAUUACCUAUGUCUCUCCACCACGACAACCCCCUUUUAAAAAAAUCGACAUCAUUAACCCCUCCCAUAGCCACUGCCCCUACUCCACAUCUAGAUCUCAAAACAUUCAACCAAAGAGAUUGUCGUUCAAAAAGAAGUUUCCACCUCCUACAUAUACAUUUUUAGAUUCAUUAAUUUUAGUGUUUUAGUAUCAACUUUAAUGCCUCCCUGAGUUUGAAGCCUUUGUAGGGGAUGUAUAUAAUGUCGGCCACUAAAAAAUCAUGAACAAUAAAAACAUUACAGGGAAAAGUGCUAAUACGUCCUUGCCUAUUAGUUGCCCCCCUUCACAAUGGGUAUUUGCACUUGGUCCAUCUAGGACAUAUAGGUCAUUUGAGACCUUUUCCCUUCUUUUGUAGGUACUUCCACUAAACCUAAUGAAAUCGACCACUUAUAAUUGGCACAUAAGUCAGAAAUACUUCCUACCUAACCUGUAAGGUUUCCUUUUCUUUCUUUUAUUGUUUAGAUUUUACAUUGGGUACAAUGCAAAUUUCUAAGCUUGAGGAUUUUUGCAUUUAGAUAGUUCAUUCAUAUCAGACAUACCAUAUAGAUUUUAAAUAAUUUGAGGUUGAAUAUUUAUAUUAUCAUGCAUUAACAUAUGUUUUAUAUUUUACUUAUCCUCUGCUUUGUUCUAUGUGUUGCAUGUCUACUUUAAUUGAAUAAAUAUGCACACUACAACAUUUUUGACCUAUGUCAACGGCUGAAAACCGUGGCCAUUAGUCAAAAAAAUGUUCUCCUUGCCAGAGGUAACGGGUUUUUAAUUGUGGUAGUCUGAGGCGUUGCCUUUUGUUUAGGCCACAAUUUUUUUACUAUUGACAACACCUUUCUAAAACCGUUGUCUACUAUUUAAAUAGACAACGGUUUAUGUGCAAUGUUAAAGGUAACGGUUAAAAACCAUGAUCUAAAAGGAAAGCAGAAAACCGUGGUCGUUGUUGUUUAUUGGCAACGGUUUGAAAACUGGUGCCAGUUUGUAUACAAACACUAGUUUGAAAACCAUUGUCAGUUGUGUGUACAUGCAACAACUUUGAAACCAUUCUCAUUGUCUACAGGCAAGAAAACCGUUGUCUUUGGUCCUAUGUCUAUUUUUAAAAUAUAUAAUCAUUGCCUUUGCUACACCGUAUAUACAAUACUUAACUACUCUACCUUUUUAUAAAUAAAUUUGUUCAUUUAGAUUUUUUUUUUAAGAAAAUCAUUAUUUUUCGAUAAUGCUGUAAGAUCAAUAAAUAAUAAGAAAUAUGACAAAAUAUUUUUAAUGGAUAUUCAUAACAUUAAUUAAUUUAAAACAUGAGUAUUUGUUACUUUAAAUUUGGUGAACCAAAAUACAGACUUAUGUUCUUGAAAGUGACAAGCAACACUAUACAAACCACUCCAGUACUAGUCAUAUCAAAACAAUUAUAUCCAUUACUAUUUAAAAAAAUAUAAUCAUAAUCCAAAAUAGGAAAACUUGAUUCAUUCCCAUCUAUACUGUAUGCGACAAAUUGUCUUCCAAAUGAUUUUGCUGCAAAUAGAGAAGUAGUCAUGCUGCAAGUGAACGCCAAGUUUUUCCAAAAAUAAAUAUCCUAAAGUAGUCAUGAGGUUAGUCACUCUACUAAUAAUUCGAAAUUUCCAAUGUUACAUAUUUGAUAUUUAUUAUAUAAUUAGAGUUUUGUCUUAACCAUGUUGCAACCAUGAUGAUAUAAAUAAUUAAGAAAUUAUCUUAUCAUUAUUUGGAACAUGUGUCGAUGUAGAAGUACCUGGUGUUGAUAACAUUAUUGCUAAUGCAUCCACAUCUACUCCUGAGUUGUUUUGAUUUAUGACAUUCCUUAGCAAAAUUUGAAAUUUUUUUCCAUUGAUGACAUUUCUUGCGUAUGUUUUGCCUCCAUUUUCUCAACUUUAUCAUUUAACAAUUUCAAUACAUCAGUAUGUUUUUUCUCAAUUUUUGCUAUUUCUUCUGUUCUUUUCAAAAGGGUGGGUGUGGUAACUUUUCAAUGACACCGAACUCUUCCAGGCUUUUCUUUCCCAAACACACUCUGAAAAGCUUCAUCAGGUUGUUGACUAGAAAUUUGAAUUAAAUCUUUAAGCUGUGCCUGACAUUUUUAGAAGCAAUCGAGUUAGCAUAAAACUAUAUUUUAGUUCUACAAUUGAGUUGUGCCUAACUCAUGGCUAAACUCCAACACACUAAUCUUUUAUUGACCAUGUUUAUUAAAAUCUAGUCAUAUUCUAGAACUUAAUUACUGUGAAGAAGAUCUUUGCUCCUAACCUUGGCACGGUUUUGAUGAAGACACCAACAUCACCAAAAAGAAGAAAAGGAAGAAUACUUAUGAAGACAAAGAAGAAUAAAGCUUCAAGAAGAUUAGAUUAAGUCUCUAUAGGUACUUCUAUCCUAAAACUCUUACUUAUGCAAAGUAGUAAUGCUCAAAAUAAUUUAAAAGAAAUUGAAACACUUUAAGUUUUAAAUGAAAAUAUUUUUCAAAAUGAUGUGUGACAGGUUACUGAAAUUUGAGUAACAGGUUACAUGAGUGAGAAUCAGUUAUCCAACUUAAAACUUAUCAGAGUAAUCCAUUACUGUCUUUGAGUAACAGAUUACAAGUGUUAUUAAAGUUGAGUAACCGAUUACUCAAAAUGAGUAACCGAUUACUCUAAUUCAAAAUUAAUUAAACAGUGGACAGAACACUUGAGUAAUCGAUUACUCAAUGCUGUAAUCGGUUACUGAGAGCCGUUACAUCAAUUUUCAGAUUUGAAACUCAAGAGUUUUCAUCCCAAACGAAAUGCCUUCAUUCCAAACAAUUUCUACUCUUUCAUAAAGGCAUAAUGGGUGAUUUGAAAGCCUAUUUAAAGGCUUUAGAACUCACAAUGAAAACAACUCUUUCACACUUUUCUCACAACUUUCCUAUACUUUUCUGAAAUAAUUUUCUGCACUUCUAAGCAACUUGAACUCAAACUUUCAAAGCUAUUUUUUUGAGUUGUUUGAAUUAAAGUGUUUCAAAGAUUUAUAAACUUAAAGAGCAUUAUUACUAAGUAUACUAAAGAGUUGAUUGGAUUGCAAGUGAUAUAAUAUUUCUUACUUGUAAAGGCAAUCCAAAACCAUUGUUGUAAUUCUUCAUUUAUUGCAAACAAUCUUUCUUUCACAAGGGUGUGAAUAGAAAGGGGAAAGAGUGACUUGGAAAGUGUUUUUCCAAGGUAUAAAUAUUAGUGAGUGUGUAAGGUACAGAGAGAUCUCGGGGUGAGAUAUUGUAUUUACAACUCUUAAUAUUUAGUGGAAAUCUCUUGUGUUGCAAGAGUACUGGACGUAGCCUUCGGUGGACAAGAAGGUGAACCAUUAUAAAACACUUGUGUACUCUCCUUUCCCUUUCCUCUUUACUUUAUACUUGCUUAAUUUUCUGCAAUAUUAUCCGUUGCACUUUAACUCUAACAUUUUGCAGAAAAAAUUGAUAAAAAGUCCAACAUUAACCGCCCUCCAAGCGUUGUUGGAGAAUGCUAUGACUUCUGGAAAAUUAGAAUGAAGAUCUUUAUUGAAUCUUAAGACUUAGACAUAUGGAACGCCAUUGAAGAAGGACCAUAUAUACCAUUUACUGUUAUCAACAAUAUAAGGGAAAAAAAGCCUAAAUCUUCAUGGAAUGAUGAAGACAAGAAGAAAGUACAAUACGACCUUAAAGCCAAAAACAUUAUUGUGUCGGCUCUAGAAGAAAAAGAAUUCCUUAGAGUAUGAAGUUGCAAAAUGUCGAAAGAAAUUUGGGACACUCUAGAAAGGAUGCAUGGAGCCAAAGAAGUACAAAGGUCUACAACAAAUAGUGAAGCAUCAACAUCAAAGCAAAAAUCUACAUGCUCAAUAUGCAGAAAACCAGAUCAUCUAAAAAGUGCUUGUCCAUCCUACAAAAGCAUUAUACUUUCAAAAGAAAGAAGGACAAGAAGCGUAGAAGAACAAAUGUUAUAUCAGAAGAUAAAUAUGAUGGUUCAAAUGCAGAACUCAGAAUUAAGGAGCAAUCACAUACUUCAUUGGUGGCUUCACACAAUUCAAAUGACGAUUACGAGGUUAGUAACUCUGAACCAAAUGAUACAUUUUCAUAUAAUGAGUUACAUAACGCUUUUUGUGAAUUACAUGAAGAAUUUAUUAGACUCUCUAAAGUGAGCAUAAAUCAUAAAAACACUAUAGAACUUCUUGAGAGUCAAAAUAAAAUUAUACAAAAAGAUUUGGAUGCUUUAAAAUCCAAAUCAAAUGACAAGUGCAUUGAUUUCAUUAAAUCAAGAAAUGAAUAUGGUCAAGAAGAGUACUUAUAAAUUGGACAAUAUUUUAAAUACUCAAAAACAUACCAAUGACCGAAGAGGUCUAGGCUACACAAAUAGCCGAAAAACUAAUGGUAUGACAAAGAGUACUUUUGUGAAAACUAAGAAUGAUUGCAUGCAUAACAUUUCUAAAGAAAAUCUUGAACAACAUUCUUUCUACAAGUCUAAACAAAAGACGCAUCAACAUCAACCCACAUGCUUUUAUUGUAAAUUUUUUGGUCAUUCUCCUAAUUCAUGUCAUAUUAGAAAAGUUGGUAUUCCAACUGGCCAAUAUGUUUGGGUUGAGAAAUGUGCUAACCCCGCAGGACCCAAAUCACAUUGAGUACCUAGAAAAUAUUUUUAAUUUGUUUCGCAGGAGUGCUUGAAAACCAUAAGCAUAAAUGUAUUAUCACGACAACGGUUGUUCAAAGCACAUAGAAUGAAGAGAUUCAAAAUUAUCAUUUAUUCAAGCAAUAAAGGCCUUGUUACUUAUGCAUAGAACAUCAAAAGAAAAAUCCUUGGUACAGGUAACAUUGUUAUUAUAUUUACCUAAGUGCAUGGCUUUGGCAUAGAAGAAUUGCUCACAUCCACAUGGAACAUUUGAAUAAACUUCUUAAGAAAGAUUUAGUUGUCAGUUUACCCAAAAUGAAGUUUGUUAAAGAUAAACUAUAUAGUGCUUGUCAAAUGGGUAAACAAACAAAAAAUUCUUUCGAACCAAAGCACAUGGUUUCUUCUGAUAGACCAUUACAACUACUUCAUAUGGAUUUAUUUGGUCCCUCAAGGACAAAAAGUUUUAGUGGAAAUUACUAUGCUCUUGUUAUAGUGCACGAUUUUUCUAGAUAUACAUGGACUCUCUUCUUAGUACAUAAGAAUGAGGCAUUCAAAGCCUUUAGCAUUUAUGCUAAAAGAGUUGAAAAUGAAAAAUCUCUAAAAAUCGCUGCUAUACAAAGUGAUCAUGGGGGAGAAUUUCAAAACUCCUCUUUUGAGGAAUUCUGUGAUGAUCUUGGGAUCAACUACAAUUUUUCUGCUCCUAGAACACCUCAACAAAAUGGUGUUGUAGAGAGAAAGAAUUGGUCCUUAGAAGAACUGGCUCAAACAAUGUUAAAUGAAACUAACCUCCCAAAAUACUUUUGGGCUGAUGCAGUUAGCACUGCUUGUUAUGUUUCGAAUCGAGUUCUUAUAAGACCCAUUCUUAAGAAAACCCCCUAUGAACUCUUCAAAGGUAGAAAACCUAACAUUUCUCAUCUACACGUUUUUGGUUGUAAAUGUUUUGUUCUGAACAAUGGUAAGGAUAAUUUGGGCAAGUUUGAUGCUAAAGCUGAUGAAGGGAUUUUCCUUGGCUAUUCUCUCACAAGUAAAGCAUACAUAGUCUUUAAUAAAAGAACUCUAGCCAUGGAAGAAUCUAUUAAUGUAACUUUUGAUGGAAAUAAUCAUGCUUUAAGAGAUGCAAUAUCUAGUGAUGAAGACGACUUGCCAAGUUCAUCCACCAAAGAAAACUCUAUUGUUGAUCUUACAACUGAACCUGAAAACUUGAGAAAAGAUGAUGAUCUAUCUUCUCAAGAAGAACACAGUCACUCAGAUCUACCAAAAGAGUAGAGAACUCAUUGAAAUCAUCCUAUCGACAACAUCAUCAGUGAUAUAAGUAAAGGUAUAACUACUCGUAGAAUGCUUGAUGCUUGUCUAAACAUGGCCUUCGUCUCUCAGAUAGAACCCUCCAAGAUUGAUGAUGCAAUCGAGGAUGAACACUGGAUUCUUUCUAUGCAAGAAGAAUUAAACCAGUUUGAGAGAAACGAAGUUUGGGAACUUGUUCCUAGACCGAAAAAUAGGCAUGUAAUUGGAACUCGUUGGGCCUUUAGAAAUAAAUCUGAUGAAAAUGGUGUCAUCAUUAGAAAUAAAGCUAGACUAGUAGCCUAAGGAUACAACCAAGAAGAAGGUAUUGACUUUGAUGAAACCUUUGCUCCAGUUGCUAGACUUGAAGCUAUUAGGCUAUUACUUGCAUAUGCUUGUUCUCUUAAUUUUCAGUUAUACCAAAUGGAUGUCAAGAGCGCCUUUCUCAAUGGUUACAUUCAAGAAGAAGCGUUUGUAGAACAACCUCCUGGUUUUGAAGACUACAAACAUCAUUCUCAUUUCUACAAACUAAAUAAAGCUCUCUAUGGUCUAAAGCAAGCACCACGAGCGUGGUAAGAUCGUCUUACAACUUUUCUGAUAGAAAAGGUUUUACCAAAGGGAAGGUCGACACUACUCUAUUUAUAAAGAAAAUAAAUCAUCAUACUUUGCUAGUUCAAAUUUAUGUAGAUGAUAUUAUUUUUGGUUCUAAUAAUGAAAAUUUGUUUAGUGAAUUUGGCAAAAUGAUGCAAGGAGAAUUUGAAAUGUCCAUGAUGAGAAAGUUAAAUUACUUUCUUGGACUACAAAUCAAAAAACUUGAUAAUGGCAUUUUUGUGAGUCAAACCAAGUACUGUUGCUGAAAAGAUUGGAUAUGGAUGACUACAAGCCAAUAGCUACUCCUAUGGGAUCUAGCACAUACAUCGAUACCGAUGAAAGUGGAAAAAGUAUUGAAAUAUCAAAGUAUCGAGGUAUGAUCGGAUAUCUUCUAUAUCUAUCUGCCAGUAGAUCCGAUAUUAUUUUUAGUGUAUGUUUGUGUGCACGUUAUCAGUUUAAACCAAACGAAUCACAUUUAAUUGCGGUUAAGAGGAUUAUGAAAUAUUUAAAAGGUACAACUGAAGUUGGACUAUGGUAUCCUAAAGGAAGUAUUUGAAAACUGGUUGGAUAUUCAGAUUUUGCCGAAUGUAAAUUCGAAAGGAAAAGUACAAGUGAUACUUGUCACAUUUUAGGCAAUGCUUUAGUUUCUUGGUCUUGCAAGAAACAAGCAUGUUAUGCGGUAAGCACUGCUGAUGCUAAAUAUAUAGCAACAGGUAGUUGUUGUGCCCAAGUGUUGUGGCUCAAACAACAAUUACGAGAUUAUGACUUAGACUUAGGCUGCACUCCAAAUGUGAUAAUACUAGUGCUAUAAACCUUACAAAGAAUCCUAUUAUGCAUUCUAGAACCAAACACAUAGAUAUAAGGCAUCACUUCCUAAGGGAUCAUGUUCAAAAGAAAGAUGUAUCGGUAGAAUUUGUUGAUACUCAUAACCAACUUGCAGACAUUUUCACUAAGCCCUUGGCAAAAGAACCUUUUUACAAAAUUAGACUUGAAUUAGGCAUUCUUGAUGAAGCUUACCUGUGUUAAACAUGCUUAUAUGAAUAUAUGUUUGCUUCAUUAUUAUUAUCUCAUGCCUACUUGAUCUUAAAUAUAUUUAUUCAUGUUCAAAAACUUAAAUUUUUGGGUUAAAAAUCAUUUCCGUAGCUUAAUUUUGCCCAAAAAUAAGUUUUUCUGAGGUAAGUAAUCAAUUACACUGGAGAGUAACCGAUUACAGGGUUAAACAUCGUAUUUCAGUAACCGAUUACCCAAAGUGAGUAAUUGAUUACUCAAAGCAGCUGUUUGAAAAUUUUAAAAAAUUUGUUUCUGAGUAACUGAUUACUCUGUGCUGUUAUAUAUAUAAUUUCUGCAAUUUUCAACUCAUCUUUUUCACUCAACUCGUGUUCUCUUCUUCUCAAAGCCUCUCAACCUCUAAAAACCUUGUUUUUAAUCCAUUUUUGGUGAUUUUUGUGUAUAUUCUUAUCACAUUUUCGAUUCUAAACACUUCUAACCAUUCAUUUUCGUGAUUAGUGGCUUGAAUCAAAAACCCCCAAAUCUCCAAAACCCAAAAACCUAUCGAUGCAUAUUUCUGAACAUCUGUUUUUAUGUUUGGACAAUAUUUGAUUUUAUGCUAUGAUAUUAUGCUAUUAUGAUAUGCACUACAUUAAUUUUCAUAUCUAUUGUGUUAUACAUCAUGUAUGCUAUAUAUGCAAUAUAUCUUUGUGCUGGACUCUUGGCUUUUCUACUUUUUGAUGAAGUCAAAAGCACUUAACUCUAAAUGAAAGGGGGAGCAUACAAUAUAUGGGGAGCAUACUCAAGACAAGUCAAGAUAUAUCACAAAGUAUGUUACUCUCAGAAAAUUCAGAAAACUACACUGUUAAGAAGAUAUUGGUUUGUCAUCAUCAAAAAGGGGGAGAUUGCGAAGAAGAUCUUUGCUCCUGACCUUGGCACGGUUUUGAUGAAGAUACUAACAUCACCAAAAAGAAGAAAAUUAAGAAUACUUACGAAGACAAAGAAGAAUAAAGCUUCAAGAAGAUUAGAUUAAGUCUCUAUAGGUACUUCUAUCCUAAAACUCUUAAAUAUACAAAGUAGUAAUGCUCAAACUAUUUUUAAAGAAUACCCAAUGUCAGUAAUCGAUUACUGAGGACUAUUGCAUGAGAUUUCAUAUUUCAAAACGAAAUGGUUUCACUCCAAACAACUCCUACACUUUCAGAAAGGCACCUUGGGUGUUUGGAAAGCCUAUAUAAAGACUCUAACUCUCACAACAUCAAUACACAACCUAUAUACAACUCUCAUAAAUUCUCUCACUGUUUUCUGCAGUUUUGCACUGAGUUCUUAAACUUUCAAUAGAGAAUUUAUUAUGAGUAAUUGCUUCAAAAGUUUUCACAAAUAUAUUGAGCAUUAUUACUAAGCAUAUAAAGAGAGUUGAUUGGAUUGCAAGUGAUAUAAUAUUUCUUACUUGUAAAGGCAAUCCAAAGCCAUUGUUGUAAUUCUUCAUUCAUUGCAAACAAUCUUUCUUUCACGGGGUGUGAAUAGAAAGGGGAUAGAGUGUCACGGAAAAGUGUUUUCCAAGGGUAUAAAUAUUAGUGAGUGUGUAAGGUACAGAGAGAUCUCGGGGUGGGAUAUUGUAAUUACAACUCUUAAUAUUUAGUGGAAAAUCUCUUGUGUUGCAAGAGUACUGGACGUAACCUUCGGUGGACAAGAAGGUGAACCAGUAUAAAAUCCUUGUGUACUCUCUUCUCCCUUACCUCUUUACUUUAUACUUGUUUAUUUUUCUGCAAUAUUAUCCGCUGCACAUUAACUCUUACAUUUUGCAGAAAAAGUUACUAUAAUUUUAAGUCAACUAAUUCACCCCCCCCUCUUAGUUGCAAUCCCGUUCUUACAAUUACUAUGGUAAUAAAUAAAUUUAUCGUUGCAUUAGUUGUUUCUUGGUCCAAUGACUCUCCUUUCUUGCUUUGUCUAGUUUCACAAAACAUUUCAGCUUGGUUGGGCAUCUCUUUAUUCUCCUUAGUUGCAUGCUGCAUUUUGAAAAAAUAAAAUAUUUAAAUACAACAAAUAAAUCAAAUAAUAUAAAUAAUUACGUUUAUAAUUAAAAUACCACACCAAUCUUUCCUUUAUGACACCGAAAUUCACAGGUCCCAUUCGGUGUCUCCAUUUCUGCUAAGCUUUGUUUUUUGAAUUUUGUUCACUCAUUUCCUAUAUAUUGUAAUACAAAAACAUUGCAUCAAAGAUCUGUUAGUGUAAGAGACACAUUGUAGUAGACAAUGUGAUCUAUAAUGAUGAAUAAGAGAGACAUUAUAUUUCAAUUUCAAGCUUGCAUCGAAGUUACAAUCAUGUACUGCAAGGAUUAUUCAUGUCAUUAUAAAUGAUUCAUUUUUCAUACAGUUAGUGAAAUAGACUGAAGAGGAAGUACUUAAAAACAAAAGGAUAAAAUAAUAAAAUGUGACACUUCUAUCAUUUAGAUAUGUAAUGAUAAUUUUAUCUUAAAUAUAGAAGUGAACAUAAUAACUUGUGUUUUCCUUUAUGUAUGGGAAGGGUAUAAGUUUUAAUAUGAGAAUAUCUGCAACUAAUUCAACCCAAAAUAAUCUAGCUCAUAGGGGAGGGUUACAGUUCAUUACUCAUAUACUCAACUAAUGUGGGAGUGUGAGACUUAAGCACUUAAAGUCCAUGAUUCUUUAUGCUGCAAUAAAAGUGCUAGGCUUAGAUCAUAUUUUUCCUCUUUAGUCUUUUAUUUGGAUACUCAAGAGUGACUAAAUUGUUUGCCUCAUUUGACAUUAAUCAUGAACCCAUGUAUAUUAAAUGAAGAGAACUUAAUUUGCAUUAAUUGGGUUCAAUAUAUAUAAGUCUUUUUACCUUUCACAAUUACUCAGCAAAUGUGUACUAUAUAUGAUUUUUUCACUUUUGGCCUUAACUCAUUGUUACUUAGCCACAUGGCUAGCUUCACCAAUAUAAUAAGUAUAAUAUUAAUUUUUGACAAGUGUAUUGCAAUUUAACAUAAACUAAAGUUUAAGAAUCUUACUUGAAUAUUUCCAAGACUCCAAUAUCGUAUCAAUUCCUUAAAGUGUGAUUCUGAAAUGUCUUUGGGACGAUUUUUCAGGCGCUCAUAUUUUGUUUUAUACUUGCUAAAAUGUUCUUCCUUGAUGGCGCAUUUGUGUCGCCUCCAAGCAUCAUUUAGAAUAGCAAAUACAACUUUUUUCCUACAUCUGGAAUGAUGUAUUUUUGCUACAAAGAAAAGAAGCAUAAUUAGAAAGAUCUAAACGCACAUGCAUGAACACAAAUUAAAAAGCACAAAUUCUAAACUAAUACCUUGACAUAAGUCCAUAAGAGAUCUUUGUCUGGUACAACCUUCUAGUUAGUGUAAACAAGGGGACAAAAAUCUGAACUCCUAGCCAGUGUUCCCAAAAAAUUGUUGAAUUGAACAACAGUUCUUUGAUUUGGUCCAAUUGGCACUCCAUAUUCAUUGAAAAUGAUUUAAAUUCUAUCUUCUAGUGAUCGUGCAUGAGCUUCCAAGCAUUUUGUUUUCCCACGCUUUCUUUUUUAUGUUUCCCCUAAUUGACAUAUUUAUAAAUAAAUGAUAUAAAAUUGAAAAUUGAAAAAACAAUUACAAAAAACAGUAAGGUUACCUUGCUCUGUACUAUUACUUGUUUCAUUAACUUGCUCAUUUUGAUGGUUGAUAUCCUCACCAACUUCAUAUAUCUUAUCAUUUUCUUCCUGAUUUUCACCUUCUUGCACACCUUCUUCUUGCUCAUAUUCUCCUUCAUGCUCAUCCUCACCUUCGUGCUCAUCUUCAUAUUCUUGAUUAUUAUUCAGAAAAUUAUCAAGCGACAUGGAUGGAUACUUUUUAGUGAUCUUUUUCUUCUUACAAAUUUGUUCACUCAUAGCUCCUUUACCUUGAUUUCUUAUUAUAGUUGUGAAUUGUCUCUUUUGAAAUGGAUUCAUCCUUUGAUCUUGAUCCUUUGAUCUUUUUUGCUGAAUUUUUUGGUCGCUCUUGCUUAGCAUUAAACCUAGUUUGAAAUUGAAGUCCAAAACCUUUUUUAUUCAUUUCAUGCACAAGUUUGAAAAUCAAUCUGCAUUUUGAAAAGAUAUAAACAAUUCUAAAAUUUAAGCUCAAUUUUUUUGUCUUAUUACCAACAUGAGCAACAUGGUAUAACAAAAUGAUAAAUAUACGAGUAAUGAUAUAUAAAAAGUACACAUGAAUGAUGAAAAGGACUUACAUGAGCUGCUAGUAUAUAUAUGUAUUUGAUUUUCUGCUAUCUUGUUUCCCAACAAACUUCUUUUGCAUCCACUUGAGGAACUGAAAUUGACAAAACACCUUGUCAUAUACUGCGACAAUAAUUACAUAACACUAACAAUGAAAAACUAUGAUGAAAAAUGCUAUAUACUUACAAAAGUAAUAAAAUGAGAGAAGAAUUUUUAAAACUAAAUUAUUCUAUGUAGUCCUAUAAAGUGUCAUCAUGAUCAUAAUCUUCAGAUUGUAUCUCAUUUGGCACAAGCAAAGGAUUUUCAGCGAUAGUUGGUGGCAAGUCACCCCUAACCAAUUGAAAUCCAGAUCUUUCAUCAACUAUAAAUAGAUUUAAUGCAUCAUCUGGUGGCUCAUUUUGAUAUAAUUAUUGGUUAUUCAAAUGUGAUUCCUCUUUCAUAUCAAAAUAGUCUCUAGGAAUAUUCUUCAAAACAUAAUUUCUAUUUGAAUUAAGAGGAUCUUGAAUGUAAAAGCAUUACUUGACCUGAGAAGCCAACAUAAAAGGGUCAUUUUUGUAGCAUCUUUUAUUGAAGUAAACACAUAUUAACCCAUACUUAUCUUCUUCAACUUCAAACCAAUUACACCUAAAGAACACAAAUUUGAAACUUCCAUAAUAGUCUAGCUCAAGGAUUUCAGUAAUUGAUCCAUAAUAAAUUAAUGGCUUUGUUGUCGGAUUUCCAUCUUUAGUACUUGCAAAGCUUUGAGUUAUUGAAACUAGUGUCACGCCACUAUUUUGUGUUUUGCGUUUGGCAUCACAUUGUUUGGUAUGAAAUUGGUAACCAUUAAUGACAUAGCCAGAAAAGCGUCUUGCAACAAUAUUUGGUCCUCUUGAAAGCUCCUUAAGUUGGAUAGAUACAUCAUCCUUCAAAGCACAUACUUUGAACCAUUCAAUGAAAUCUUCAUACUGACUCUUUGCUUGGCUCCACCUCUUUCUUUUAUUGAUUCUUGUGAUGUCAUCUUCCUGUUCACUAAAACAUACAUAACAAUGUUAUAAUAAAUUUUGAACAACUUGUAGACUAUUAAAACAGUCUAGAAUUAGAGUUAUUUACCUAAUGAACUAUUCAACUUCAUCGCAGUUAAACAAGAUGUAUCGGUGGGCUUGGCUUCUUGUCUUGAAAUCUAAAGAAAUUAUUUUACCAUUUUUUUUCUUCCAAUAGGAUAACCAAUGUUGGAAAAAAAAUUCAGACUCUAAACUGCACAAGGGUAACAUCUAUCAAUAUGUAAAUACCUUUAGCAUAGAGUCAAGCAUUCUUCAACCAAGUAUCCCUCAGCAAUACAACCUUCUGGACGACUUCUGUUAUGAACAUAACUCUUCAAUUUACCUAAAUAUCUUUCUGGAAAAUACUCCACCGAAAUUGAACUGGCCCUCCCAAUCUCAACUCAUUCACUAGAUGUAUAGGCAAAUGAACCAUCACAUCAAAGAAACUGGGAGGGAAAAUGGUCUCGAAUUGACAAAGUGUUUCUGCAAUCUCUGAUUGUAAGAUAUCUAGAUCAUUCACAUCAAUAACUUUUUGGCAUAGACAAUGAAAAAAUGAACGUAGACGAAUUAUAGGAUGGGCAACUUGGCUAGAUAUUGUACUUCUCACUACAACUUGAAGCAAAAAAUGUAGCAUGAAAUGUGCAUCGUGACUCUUAUAACCAGAAAAUUUUCUUUCAGCGACGUUAACACAUCUUGAAAUAUUUGAUGCACAACCAUAUGCUAUUUUUGUAUCCUUUAGGACAGCACAAAAGAUAGAUUUUUCAUUUGGUGUCAUGGAGAAACAUGCUUUUGCAUACAUCAAUUUUUUACCAUCAUGUGUCUCCUUUUGAUGAAGCUUUUUUCUAAUACCCAUCUCUUGUAAGUCAAAACGAGAUCUUUCAUGAUCUUUUAUCUUCCCAAGUAUAUCCAACAAGGUUGCAAUUAUAUUGUCAAAUAUAUUUUUCUCUAUGUGCCUUACAUUAAGGUUGUGCCUUAAAAGAUUGUGCUUCCAAUAUGACACUAAAAAAAAUUGAUUUCUUCUUCCAUGGACCUUCGUUGGUCUUCUUUUGCAUCUUUCCAAACAUAUUAUUGAAGUUUUCUAAAAAUGUUAAGAUAUGCACACCUUCUAACGAAUGAGAUGGAGGCCUAAAUUCUUUUCUCCCAUUAAAAUCUGUUGCAUUUGAUCUAUAUUCAUGAUCCAUAGGCAAAAAAUGCGAUGGUCCAUAUAACACAUUUUUCGGCUAUGCGUUAGAUAAGCUGAAUUAAUUUCAUAAUUACAACAAGGGCAUGUGAGUUUCCCUUUUGUACUCCACCCACUCAGCAUAACAUACGCAGGGAACUCAUUAACAGUCCACAUUAGUGCUGCUCUCAUCUGAAAAGUUUGAUUUUUUGAAGCAUCAUAAGUCUCUACACCUGACUCCCACAAUACUUUUAAAUCAUCAACUAGUGGUUGGAGGUAGACAUCAAUGUCAUUUCUUGGUGCUUUUGGUCCAUGGAUUAUUAAUGAGAGAAUAGAAUACUCAACCUUCAUGCACCACCAAGGAGGGAAAUUAUAUGGUAUUAGUACCACAGGCCAUAUACUGUGAGACAAAUUCAUUGAUCUAAAAGGAUUAAAUCCGUCACUAGCCAAACCAAGUCUUAUGUUGCGUGAGUCAAUAGAAAAGUUAGGAUGGCGCUUGUCAAAAUAUUUCCAUGCCUCGCAAUCGACAGGAUGUCUCAACUUCCCAUCUUUUGAACGCUCUUCUUCAUGCCACCUUAAUGAGCUAGCUGUCUUUGAACACAUAAAUAGUCUUUGUAGUAUGGGGAUUAGGGGAAAGUAACUUAAAACUUUAGGAGGGACUUUGUGUGCAUUCUUGUUCUCAUCAUUCUUACUAGAUGAUUUUGUAUAUCGUGAAGCACCACAUACAUGGCAAGAGCAGUCAUUCUUAUGAUCCUUCUAAUACAACAUGCAGUCAUUAGGACAUGCAUCAAUCUUUUCAUAAUCAAGCCCCAAAUCCUUGAUCAUGCCUCUAGUUUUAUAAAAUGAAUCAGGGAUAUUCAAAUGAGGCAUAGCUUCUCUCAAGAGCCCUAGAAAGGAUGUAAAUGAUGCAUUACUCCACCCAUGAAGACAUUUCAACAAGUACAACCAAAUCGUGAAUGACAAUGUAGAGAAAUUCUUAAAACCUGGAUACAACUCUUGUUGUGCUUCUUCAAUUAGAUUAUAGAGCUUUUUAGCAUCAUCAUUGAGGCCCUUGUUAAGUUCAUUGUCUUCUGCCACAUCUCUAAAUGUAUCAUGCAAUAAUCCUUCAAUAUCAUCAACUAAAUCAUCAUCAUCUUCCAUGCAACCAUCAAGAUCUGUGUAUUUUAGAACAUCGCCAUGACAAACCCGUACAUCAUAUCCGUCUUCAAACCCAUAUCCUAUUAGAUGGUCGUACACUAUAGCCCUGACUUCCCAGCAAGUAUUGUGACAUUUAGCACAAGGACACAAAAUUUAUGCUCCUUGCAGUUUUCCAUUGGUGUAAGCAUAGUUCAGAAAAAACUCAACACCAUCAAUAUACUCUAAGCUAUACCUCGGUAAUUUAAUUCAUUCUUUGUCCAUCACGGUAACGAAUUUUUGAAAAUAAAAAUAAUUAAAUUGGCCAUUUAAGCCAAUUGAAAUUAUGCAUAAGGUGUUGAUCUCUAAAGGCUCUAGUACAUAACAACAUAAGUACAAUAUUAAAAUAUUCAUUCAACUUUUACUUUUCAUACAAAUCUUAAAAAAUAUACAAUGGAAUAAAAAGAAGGAAAAGAGACAUUUGGAAAUAUAAGUACAGUAACUUCAAGUCAUAUUUCAUAAAGGUGUGAGACUACAACAAAAUUUGUAAUGGAAAAUGAUUAUAUAGUCUAGUCUUAAUGAUUUCAACAACAUCUACACUAUUGGUAAUGUAUUUAGAGCUUAAAUUAAAUGUAUUUAUUCACUCCUUUUCAAAUGAAUUGUGCAGGUGAAUGGUUGUGUGAAGAGGUGAAUGAGAUUGUUUUUGGUUUGCUUCAUAGGCUUUGCAAGAAUUAUGUUAUAUUCCUUUUUUGUUUUUCUUCAAUUUUUCCAGUAACCUGAAUUAGCUCAGGGUUUUGAUUAUUUUUAAUUUUAUCUCCACUCCCUUACUUGUAACAAAGAGAAUACAUAUUCUUACACAAUUGCCACAACUUCAAAUUUGGGAUCAAUUUUGCAAGGACCGAGUUUUAUUUAUUCAAGUUUUCGCAAUCGUUCAAAGAGUUACAUAGAGAUAGAUGGAAAGAAUCAUUCAAAGAGUUGAAAGAUUCUUAUACAAAAGGGUCAGGAAGGCAUUAAUCAAUCAACAUGGUGGGAUAAAGGUUCAAUGCAAAGGCUUGUUUCUGAAGAAUUGCCCAUUGGUUAUGGAUGCAGCUUCACUCAAACAGUUUUCAAUGGUAUGUUUCAUUAUCUUGAUAUACUACCAUAUGGGUUAACAUUUUAUUUCAUAUAUGAGCAUUGUCCAUUCCAUUGCUGGCAAGAACUUCAUCGAAUAAAGUUAGACGGUUUAAAGUGUUGGCCCUGAUUAAGCAAUGAGUACUAAGAUUGAUUCUUUGGUUUGAAAAUUUUGUUAACAAAUUUAUGUUUUUUUCAUAACCUGGUUUACCCUCUCUUCACUUCUGAAAGUAUUAUUACCUUUGUAGGGAUUAAUAUGAUGUGUGGAGUUGGCCUUCUGUCCACUCCUUACAUAGUGAACCAAGCUGGUUGGGCCAGUAUGGCGGUAUCAUGUGGUUGUAUGACUUUCUAAGUAUCAUGUGGUUUAUAGAAAAUGAAACUCUUUGUAUGAUCAUUAAUCACUCCUUUUCAAUUGGUCAUGAACUAAAAUUCACUAUGCAAUGCAGCAGAGAUUUGUAACGCCCCAAAAAAUACUUCUCAAAAACAUUGCGGAAAAAUGGGUAAAUUUUUUUUUGAAUAAAGAGAUUGUAUAAAAUUGUUUCCUUUUAAAACCUUCCUUUUCCGGGACAUCACUUUAAGUAACUCAAAUGCGGAAAAUCAACUUAUCGUUAUCGAAUGAUAACUUAACCUGAUUCACAAUUUCCUGAAUAACACAAUGCAUAUAAACGGUUAAGUCAUCUUUAGUUCAUACAAACUAAAUCAACAAAGGCGGAAACUACAUCGCCACUAACAUAUACAAAAUCCAAAAAGAAAGAGCGAAAAUGUUAAUCAUCGCCAACAGACACUAAACAAAGACAGGAACAAACUGAAGUCGUCCUUGUUUUCAAAAGUCAGUCGCAAAAAUGAUAAGCAACUCCUAGUGGCUAACUCCAAAGCUAGGGUACUGCCUCUUCCUCAAUUCCUCAUGCCCCCUCCUGGAACAUCACGGACGGGUAGCUCCAAAUCCGAGUACAACUGUCUACCUGACGAGUACACGUCCGAACGUAAGAAAUAGAAAAGAAGAGAAAUAGAGAGAGUAAGACAUCUAAUGAACUUAAAUUCAUUGACGGCGGGGACUUACUCAGAAUAUCACACUCAGACAUAAAAUAUAUUUAAACAUAUAAUUCAUCAUUUAUCAUCAACAUCAUGAAGAAAUUAAUAACUUACCAUUUGUUUCAACAAUACCCAUACAUCAAGUAAUAUAAUCAACAUUAUACUCAUAAUCACAUCACACACAUAAACAUAGGGAUACACCAUACUUGUAACUCACAUGUGGGAAUUUACUUCAACAAUGAUAAUGUAUGCAUGAUAUGUCAUGAUCAUCCACCUUACACCAAUAUCCAUCCAACAUCCUAAUCGGAAAUAAUAGAGAGUACAGGUCCCGUACCAAGCCAUUUUGUACCACCCNNNNNNNNNNNNNNNNNNNNNNNNNNNNNNNNNNNNNNNNNNNNNNNNNNNNNNNNNNNNNNNNNNNNNNNNNNNNNNNNNNNNNNNNNNNNNNNNNNNNCCAAUCAGUGUCGUCCCUGCUUACAUCACGGUGCUCUAAGUCGUCCUGUCAUUUCCUCUCCACUACUUUAUGGUUACAAUGCAAUGCAUUCUUAGUCAGAAUCAAAUGCAAAUGUAUUAAUCAAACACAUGAUCGACCCAUCCUUAAGCUAUCUCCCGAUAAGGAAUGCUUCUCCUGGGACCCGAGAGUACAUCAACCGUACAUGCUCAAGGUAACAUCUCAAUCACAACAACCCAUCACCGAAUAAUCCUGGACGGUCACAUGACCAAGCCUCUUAUGGUCGGUCGAUCGUUGUUCAGUGAUAUCAUAUAUCCUUUCUAGGGUACCCCCUAGUUCACGAUCUCAAGUCGGAUACUUGCCCAACAAGGCAUAAACACAAACAAUGCUUUCAUACCUUUGUGGAGUCAUGCUUCACAUCUAAGCCAUGAUCUCAUUCCACAACCUUUAUAUCACAACACACCAAAAAGAAGAAAAGGAAGAUGACUUAUGAAGACAAAUGAAGAUAAAGCUUCAAGACAUUAGAUUAAGUCUUUGUAAGUACUUCUAUCCUAAACUCUUAAAUAAACUGAAGCUUUCCUCGCCCAGGCGAAGGUAUUAUCACCCAAGCGAGGUCUCUUCUCGCCCACGCGAGAGAGUUCUAGAAACUCAUUAAAUUAUGGAAUUUUUUUUUUCCGAAGCGGGUUUUUGCUCGCUCGGUCGACACCUUGCUCUCCAGGGCGAUGCCUUGCUCGCCCGGGAGAUUAUUUUUUUUUUCGCCCAAUCGGGUUUUUACUCUCCCGGGCGGGUUUUUCUCGCCCAGGCGGACUUUUGCUCGCCCAGGCGGACUUUUGCUUGCCCGGGCUCGCCCAAGCGACAGGGACUUGGACAGAAUGCCAAUUUUUGCCCUUUUUGACAACCGAAACACAUUUAAACAUUAUUUUUCAAACACUUGCACCCAGAAAAGUUCCCAACAACAUUCAUAUACAAUAUUCAACAUAUUUNNNNNNNNNNNNNNNNNNNNNNNNNNNNNNNNNNNNNNNNNNNNNNNNNNNNNNNNNNNNNNNNNNNNNNNNNNNNNNNNNNNNNNNNNNNNNNNNNNNNAUUUAUAGAUUUUUUGGGUGGGAGAAAUCUGAUUUCUAAACCCAAUUUCCAAGGAAAUCUAGCAAAUCUAAGAAGGUGAGUGAAUCAUGGGUUAAGUGAGUGAUUUAGGGGAUUUGGUGGUAGUGGAAUCUAUAAGAUUUAGUGGUUAGAUUUUGUGAAGUAACUCAUGCGACGCGACGACUUCUAUGAAAUGCGCGUGAUUAAAACCAUGCUCGAGUAUUGUCGGCAAUAUUCGAGUAGUCAAAAAUGAUCGCCCAAUUUUACUUUACGGUUGUAACUUCGAAUUUCGGCAUUCCGAGUGAAAAUAUUCUAGAAAACAGUUACGGACCAACUCAGGGUCUAUCCUAACUCAAAAUGUGAUUACAAAGCCAAUGGCGUGAUCGGAAUUCGAUUCCGAGUUACGGAACUCAAAAAAAUGCUUUUUGAGCCGUACCGGGUAUAUUUUGGCCUCGACAGUGGUUCAGAACCGACUGUCUCAGAAAAUUACCAAAAUUUAGCACAAAAUCUGAAAUAAAUUUCAAGAAUAAAACUCAACUAGAGUUUCGUCUAAUUCCUUACCGAAAAUUCCCAGAAAUUCAUUUUUCGAAUAUAUAAUUAGUGAAAAUAUUAGUAAAGUCUUAUAAUUCAAAAUCGUAAAAUUUGCGGUGUUACAAGAUUGACUACUUAAAGUACAAAUUUUAUGAGUUCAGAUUGACACUAUUUUUAGAUAUAUGGUAUCAAGGUGGAAAGUAACAUCACAACCAUAUAUUCAUUCAAUCAACUGAUUGAAAUAUUUCAUACAUUAAAGAAUUUUCAUGGUAAUUUCAAAGAAUCACCUCACGAGCAAAACCAGAAACCUUAAUCACAACAAGUAUAUUUACAUUCCAACUCCAUCAAACACAUUUAGGUAUGAGUUGUUAACAAUAAAUAAUGAAACAUGGAAGCAAGAGGUUAUGUCUCAUUACCAAACACUAUUUUAAACCAUGGUUAGCAAUUUUCAUAAGCAUUUCACCAAUAUACAUAAGAAAAAGUGACUCAUAAAUGAAAAAACAUAAUUUAAAAGCAAUUUAUAGAACCAUACAACUUACAGAGCAUGAAAAUGCACACUCCAGAAUCUAUAAAUUGAGAAGAACCGAAUAAUGUUGAACAUAAAAAAUAUACCUCAAUGGAGCUAAUUCAGAGAGCGCUCAAAAGAAGUGAAAAUCCACAUUAGCAGCGAACGAAAAACCUAAUUGGUGAAAUUGAAGAAGAAAUUGUGAGUUUUGUCAAAAAAACCUCAAGAAUGUUGGGAUUUUUGGUUCGUCAAUGGUGAAAUUGAAGAAGAAAUUGGGAUUUAGGGUUUCCGCUUCGUAAAGGAAGUUUGGAGGUUCGUCAAUGGUUUGUAAAGGGUUUCCAGUAAAGGAUAAAAGCGUGGAAGGGUUCAUCAAUGGUGAAUCAAAGUUUGCUUAAGGAUAUGAAAGGGUUCGUAAAGGAAGUUUGCAUGGAAGGGUUCGUCAAUGGUGAAGCGUGGAGGAGAAGAUGUUUGCUUCGUCAAUGGUGAAGCGUGUAAGAUGUGGUUUGGAGAGGAUGAAGUAAGUUUGCUUCGAAUUUUAAGAGUAAACAAUAAGAGUAAGAUGUGGUUUAGAGAGGAUGAAGUAAGGAGGGUUUCGAGUGUGGUUUCUUAAUUAGUUAUGUUAGGGAUAGUGUGGCCUAAUAUAAAUGAGAACGGUUUUGUUUUAAAAACCUCUUCAAGAACGGUAUUAAAACCGUUGUAUUAAAUAAAUAUAAAAAAAUUAUAAAUAGGACAACACUAUUACAAACUGUGGCCAAAUAUACUUUAAGACCAUGGUUUUAGAACCGUAGAGAAUAAAAACGUUGUCGUGGGUAAAAAAUGUAGUAGUGGCAUGAAUGGUGAUUGUUGAUAUGUCACCCACAUUGAGGAAAAAAACUUUUGAUAGAAUAAUAACAUGAAAGACAUUAAAUUUGACAACUACGAAUUAAAUUUGCUUUAAUAAAAGUCUUUCCUUCAUAACUAUUGCUGAAUAUACCUAAUGUGAGAAAUUUGGACCAAACACAAUAAGGGUUCUGAUUUAAAUUUACAAUUUCAUAAAAACCUUUUUUUCUUUCAUGAGUGCAUAAUUUUCUGUGAUUGUACAUUCUAGAACUUAAUUUAUGAUAAUUUCAGGAUUGAAGUCUGUCUGCAUGCAUUAAAAUGAUAGAGAAAAUUAAAACUUUUUCUUUUGAACUUCAAUCGCUUGCUAUAAACAUUGAAAACUCAUUAGUUGCCCACUUUUGAGCAUGAACUUUAGUCAUUUUUUAUUGCUACUGAAAUGAGAGUUUGGAGUAAUUUGUGAUGUUUAGAUGAAGCAAUGGAAAAAGUAAAAAGACCAUGUAAAGUAAAGAAACCAUAAAAAGGUGAAAAUGAAAAUAAAUUAAUCAUUUUUAUUUUAGAAAAAUAAUAAGAAUGAAUAAAAAAUAAGAAUGAAAAAAUAAGGCCUAUUAAGAUAAUCUCAAUGCUUCAAUCAAAUAUCUAAAAAGUUUAAGUAUUUUGGGAAAAAAUUGGAAGCCUUUUGAAUUAUCAUUUCUUUGUUUAUCUCACCUUAAAUCAUUCACCUUAACUCCAUCACCACCACUUAAAUAUCUCUUGAUUUUUGCAUGCAUUCAAAUACAAUUAGUGGCAAUUUGGUCUAUAAUCAAGCCUAUGGUAAUUUACUUUCAUGAAAAUUUGGAGCGAAACACUAUGACCUUUAAAAAAUGAGAGUGGUGAAAGAAGAGUGAUCCUAAUUCAUGCAAUUGUUAUAAUUCAAACACUUGGCUUGAAUUGAAUUUGUUUAUAAUUGUCUUGUCUUGAUGUCUGGAUUGCUUCAAAACUCUCAUCAGAUUCCUUGUUAUUUUGGGUCAUGGGUUCUAUAUCGUCAUUCAUACAUGAUUAUGAAAGUUAGACAUAAUACUUGCUUGAGGACAAGCAAGAGAUAAGCUUGAUGAGUGUGAAAUUAUGCUAUAUUUGUAUUGCAUUUACCUUGCAUUUUAAGAUAUAAUUAGGACUUUAUGAUUAUUUUUAGGUUUUAUCUCUUUUUGUUCGGCUUGAGCGAGUGUUUUUUGCUAUGUUGUAUAGUUUGGAUGGAUUGAAACAAAAAAGAAUAGAGAUUAGGUGCAAGAAAAUGGAAUUCGGUGUUGAGGCUAUUCGAAGACCAAUUGAAGGGCCAAAAGAAGUCGAAUUGGAGUCUGGAUAGAAGAGAAACAAUUUGAAGUGAAGGCACACAUAUACCCACAAUCAUGGAUGUUAUAUUCUAUUUCUAUUUUUUAGAUUUGUUUUGUUAGGCUUAGCUCAAUAUUUUUUAAGUAGGAUAAAUGAAGAUUUUUUCUCAAGGAUGGAAGACUUUACUUUUACAAUUCUCUAAUUUAGAAUUUGGUAUUCUCUUCUCUAUCAUGAGUGAGUAAUUCCCUUUGUUUCUAGUAUUGAGGCUAUGCCCUUUUAUAUUCAAUAAACACUUGUUCUUACCUGUAUUUCAUUGAGUGUUGUGAUUUGUAUCUUUAAACUGAAUUUUAUUCGUGUGAGUUGUCUGACUAACAGAUUACUCCUCUUGGAUACAUUGGGGAAGGACCGAGAGGUGAACCCAACUAUCUGACCAUUUAGUUAUUCAAACUAGAAUCCUAAUUCACGAGAUUAGUGUUAGGAUUCUCUAGGUUUUAUGGAAUUCACCUUGGAUUACUAUAAAGCGAUUGGAUAGAAAUGUCUAGGAUUUUAUUAAUAACCAUACCAUGAGAAUAAGUGCAACUUCAAUUGAAUACAUAUGUUGGAGCUCGAGAGAGGAUGAUACAUAUCAAAGAACAAUUCACCCUCACAACUUAAAGUUCAUGAAAAGGAGCAAAACAAAGAUUUGUGAGCGUAAAGACGAUAACCUUUAUCCUGAGAACUCUUCCUAAAUUAUAUUUCAAUCCAUUUCAUUAUUUUCAUAGUUAUUCUUGUUAAUUGUUCAAUUGUUCUAUAUUCAUUUUUAUUUCCUCUUUGAGUUAAGUAUAAAUUAAUUGUUAUAAUUAAAGGAAUUUUCCAGUCCUCGUGGGAUCGAUAUUUUAUUACUUGACGAUAUAAUCGUGCACUUGCGAUUUUCCCUACCAAGUUUUUGGCGUCGUUGCUGGAGACUAUGUCAAAAUUUCUCUAAUUCUCAAUUAAUUCAUUACUUUACUCUAGUGUAUUAUGCGCUUUCCUUUUUCUUGGUACUUGCCCACUUGAUUUAUGCAAAAUUCCAAUUACUACUCAGAGCCAAAAAGGACUUUCCAUAGAAGAAGAAGGCAACAAAGAGACAAAGAAAGAGAAAGACGUGUGCAUGUACAAACAAUGACCGAAUGAGAUGAAAAACUACAUCGCGACUAUGCAGCCCCUAAUGCUCGUAGUUCACAUCCUAGAAUAAUCUGCCCAAUUAUUGAGACAGAGAAAUUUUGUUUGCCAUAUGUUCUGAUCCAAAUGGUGAUGCAAAACUAAUUUAUGGGAGCAGCUCAUGAAGAUAUGAAUGCUAAUAUUCACCAGUCCUUGGAAUUCUAUGAGGCUGUAAGGAUCCAUGGGGCUUUAGAAGAUGUCAUUCGUCUCUGCAUGUUUCCAUAGUCCACUAGAGAUAGAGCUAAGACAUGACUAAGAUAUCAAAAUGUUGGGUUUCAAGCAACAUGGUGAAAUUUGAAGGAGACUUUUAUCAACAAAUACUUUCCUCUUUCCAAAACAGUGCACGAUAGCCACGCCAUCUAAAACUUCAGUCAAAAGGAUGUGGAGUCAAUUGCGAAGGCAUGGGAAAGAUUAAAUGAGGUAACUGAUGCUUGCCCUCAUAAUGGUAUUCCACGUUGAAUGAUGGUUCAGAACUUCUAAAGUGGGCUAGACUUUCCAUCACAACAAUUGUUGGACUCUUCAAUAGGUGGUGCCUUCAUGUGCAAAGAAAUGGAUGUUGCUUCAAAGAUCAUAGAGAAUGCGGUUUCCGAUCAUCACCAAUGGGCGAACAAGAGGAGACAUCAUCCAAGGAGAGACUCUGGUACAUAAUAUUAAGGAAAUCAAAUGAUAAAGGUAAUUUCCACGCUGGAGAACCUUUCUCAAAGAUAUUGAAAGCUGGAAAAAUACCAUGCUGAUGCUAUUGGAUCUACUGCAUCAUGUGAGACGUGUGGAUCAAAAGAGUGUGAAUGGUUUGAAUGUAAACAAUUUACUAAACUUGAGAAAAAGAGUGUGAAUGGUACUGCAAGAGAUGCUUGCGUACAUGAUAUUUCUUAAGGAUAUUCUAUAAAAAAAAAGAGAAUACUAGAGGAUUAUGAAAACAAUGUUCUAACUGAGGAGCGCAACACUUUAAUUAAAAAUAAAUUGCUCCAUAAAAUAAAAGAUCAUAGUAGUUUCUUUAUCUCAUGUUUAAUUGGUAACACUAAUUGUGGUGGUGCUUUAUUGACUUAGGAACAAGUGUGAGCCUCAUACCUUUAUUCGUGUGUAAAAAUUGGACGUAGGUGAACUAAAACCCACUACUAUAUCACUUCAAUUAGCGGAUAGGUCAGUUAAAUUCCCUAUAAGCAUCUUAGAGGAUAUUCUUAUCAAAGUUGGGAAAUUCUACAUUCCAACGGAUUUUGUAAUACUAGAGAUGGAAGAAGAUGCACAAAUUCCGAUCAUACUAGGUAGACCAUUUUUUGCUACCUCUGGUGCUAUGAUUGAUGUUAAAAAUGAAAAACUUUCUGUAAUUGUAGGGGAUGAAAAUGUUGAAUUUGAUAUUGCUAAAUCUAUUAAACAAUAUUCUCUUAAGGUCUCAUGUUGCUUGAUUGAUAUGUUGAACCAAGUACUAAAGGAGGAAGUACCUAAAGUGAAAUUUGAGGAUCUUUUGGAGAGAAGCAUGUAGGUAUGUGACACUUUGAAUUUUGAUGAGGAAGUGACCGAGGAUAAUGAAUCUAUAAAUGCAAGCUCUCCACUCCCCUGCAACCCACAUAAGGAGAGCUUGAGGGUUAUAAUUGAGAGAAAGAGAAAACACCUAAUAUGAAACUAAAAAAACUCCCUUCACUCUUGGGCAUGAGUUCAUUGGAUUCUAUGUGAUGCGCAAUGAUCAACCACCAUACUAAUGGCGUUAAACGAGCGCUUUGUGGGAGGUAACCCACAUUAGAGAUACAUUUUUAAAUUAAUUAAUUUUAGUGUUUUAGUGUCGGCUUUAGUUCCUCCCUAAGUUCGAAGCCUUUGUAGGGGAAUGUAUAUAGUGUCAACACUAAAAAUAUCAUGAACUAUAAAAACAUUACAGGGAAAAGGGCUACCACGUCAUUGCCUAUUAGUUGCCCUUCACAAUGGGUUUUUGCACCUAGUCUCUCUAAGAUAUAUAGGUCAUUUGAGACUUUUGCCCCUUCUUUUGCAGGUACUUCUACUAAACGUAAUGAAAUCGACCACUUAUAAUUGAUACAUAAGUCAGAACCACUUCCUACCUAACCCAUAAGUUUUCUUUUUUCUUUCUCUUAUUGUUUAGAUUUUACAUUGGGGAUAAUGUAAAUUUCUAAGCUUGAGUAGGUUUUUCAUUUAGAUAGUUCAUUCAUGUCAUGCAUACCAUAUAGAUUUUAAAUAUUUUUAUAUUUAAUAUUCAUAUUAUCAUGCAUUAGUAUAUGUUUUAUAUCUUAUUUAUCUUCUGCUUUGUUCUACAUGUUAUCUGUCAACUUUAAAUGAAUAAAUAUGCAUGAAUUAUGAUUGCUGAUAUAUGACCCCCAUUGAAGAAAAAAACUUUUGAUAAAAUAAUAACAUGAAAGACAUUAGAUUUGACAAUUGUGAAAUAAAUUUGGUUUAAUAAAAGUCUUUGCUUCAUAACUAUUGUUGAAUGUACCAAAUGCGUGAAAUUUGAGCCAAACACUAUAAGGAUUCUAAUUUAAAUUCACGAGUGCAUAAUUUUCUAGGAUUAUACAUUCUAGAACUUGAUUUAUGAUAGUUUCAAGAUUGAAGUCUGUCUGUAUGCAUUAAAAUGAUAGAGGCAAUUAGGACUUCUUCUUUUGAUCUUCAAUCGCUUGCUAUAAACAUUGAAAACUCAUUAGUUAUCGACUUUUGAGCCUAAACUUUAGUUAUUUCUCAUAGCUACUCAAAUGAGAGUUUACGGUAAUUUGUGAUGUUUGGAUGAAACAAGGGGAAAAGUAAAAACGACGUGUAUAGUGAAACAAACCGUAAAAAGGUGAAAAAUAGAAAAUAAAAAGCAUCAUUUAUCUUUUAGAAAAAUAAUAAGAAUGAAUCAAAAGAAAUAAAAAAUAAAAUAAAACGAGAAAAGAUUGAAAAAGUAUGUUAUAAAGAGAAGUGUUGAUCAAAAAAUGAUUAUAUAACAAAAUAAGGCUUAUUAAGAUAAUCUCACUGCUUCAAUCAGAUAUCUAAAAAGUUUAAGCAUUUUAAGGAAAAAUUGGAAGUCUUUUGAAUUAUCCUUUAUUUGUUUAUCUUAACAUAAAUCAUUCACUUUUGCCCCAUUAGAACCACUUAAAUACCUCUUUCUUUUUCAUUUAUUCAAAUACAGUCAGUGGUGAUUUGGUCUAUAAUGAAGUCUAUGAUAAUUUACUUUCAUGAAAAUUUUGGAGUGAAACACUAUAACCUUUAAACAAAUGAGAGUGAUGAGAGAAAAAUGAUCCUAAUUCUUGCAAUUGUUAUGAUUCAAAGACUUAGCUUGAAUUUAGUUUCUUUAUAAUUGUCUUGUCGUGAUGUCUGGAUUGUUUCAAAACUAUCACUGGAUUGCUUGUUAUUUUGGGUCCUGGGUUCUUUAUCCCCAUUCAUACAUGAUUGUGAAAGUUAGACAUAAUACUUGCUUGAGGACAAGCAAGAGAUAAACUUGAGAUGAUUUCACGAGUGUGAAAUUAUACUAUAUUUGCAUUACAUUUAACUUGUAUUUUAGGACUUUAUGAUUGUUUUUAGCUUCUAUCUCUCUUUGUUCGGCUUGAGAGAAUGUUUUUGGCUAUGUUGUGUAGUUUGGAUGGAUUGCAGCAAAAACGAAUAGAGGUUAGGUGCAAGAAAAUGGAAUUCAGUGUUGAGGCUAUUUGAAGACCAAUUGAAGGGCCAAAAGAAGUCGCAUUGGAGUCUGAAUAGAAGAGAAGCAAUUUGAAGUGAAGGCACCACAUAUACCCACGGUCGUGGAUGUUAUAUUCUAUUUCUAUUUUUUAGAUUUGUUUUGUUAGGCUUAGCCCAAUAUUUUGUAAUUAGGAUAAAUGAGGAUCUUCCCUCAAGGAUGGAACACUCUACUUUUACAAUUAUCGAAUUUAGAAUUUGGUAUUCUCUUAUCUAUCAUGGGUGAGUAAUUCCCUUUGUUUUUAGGAAUGAGGCUAUGACCUUUUACAUUCAAUAAACACUUGUUCUUACUUCUAUUUCAUUGAGUAUUGUGAUUUGAAUCAUUAAACUAAGUUUUAUUCGUGUGAGUUGUCUGACCAAUAAAUUACACCUCUUGGAUACAUUGGGGAAGGACCGAUUGGUGAAUGCAACUAUCUAACUUCAUUUAUUAAAACUAGAAUCCUAAUUCGCAAGUGUAGUAUUAGAAUUCUCGAGGGUUUCUGAAAUUCACCUUGGGUUGCUACGAAGCGAUUGGAUAGAAGAUCCAAGUAAAUGAUUUGAUUGAUAACCCUACUACGAGAGUAUGUGCGACUUCAAUUGAGUACAUGUGUUGGAGCUCGAGAGAGGAUGAUACGUAUUAAAUAGCAAUUCACCGUCAUAAAUUAAAUUUCAUGAAAAGGAGCAAAACAAGGAUUUGUGAGUGUAAAGGCGGUAACCCUUAUAUUGAGAACUCUUCCUAAAUUAGAUUUCAAUACUUUUUAUUAUUUUCAAAGUUAUUCUUGUUAAUUGUUCAAUUGUUCGAGAUUCAUUUUUAAUUCAUCUUUAAGUUAAGUAUAAAUUAAUUGUUAUAAAUAAAUGAAUUUUUCGGUCCUCGUGGGAUCGAUAUUUUAUUACUUGACGAUGUCAUCGUGCACUUGCGAUUUGCCUUACCAAAAACGAAGGGAGACGGACCACAUCUCCAAUAUUCUUGCACAAUGCAUUAAUAAUGUUCUGAAAGAAUCUAAAGCCAUCUUUAUCACUAUUCUUGUGACAUCAACAUACUUCACAUUAAAUGAAUAUUUUACUGAGCAUGGGAAUAAAGCGACUAAUAUGAUUAUGGCACAUCAUAUAUACUGUGAAGAGUUGACAAAGGUGAUUAAAGAAAAUCAAUGUCAAACUCCAUGUCAAUUGGUUCAGACUUUUUCACGCGAGACUAGAGUCACUGAGGUUGAUGUUAUAUCUAGAUCUGGUUGUCAUCAAGUUAUGGUGUAUAUUGUGAAACUAUCUGACAAUUAGUGUAAUUGUGGAUAAUUUCAAUUUUUAAGAUUGACACGCUCUCAUGUCAUUGCAACAUGUCCUUCAUUGAAUCUAGUUUGCAAGCAAUUUAUCUCAUCAAUUUACUAGCUAGAUAAUCUUGUAAAGGUGUAUGGAUAUGAGUUUCAACCAAUUGGUAAUGCAGAAUAUUGGUUCGCUUAUUCAAGUCUAACAUUCAUUCAUAAUCCUCUUAAGUGUAAGAAAAAAAAACUAGAAAUCCAAAGACUACACACAUUCACAUUAAGAUGGAUGAAGUUCAAGUUCAACAAAUUAGAAAAUGUGAAUGAUGUAAAAGUGAGAGGAAUAACAUGAAGAUAUGCCCAUUGUGUCCCAGAGAAAUGAAUGAGACUUCUAUGUAACCUUCAGAUAAUCAAUAAUUUAUUAAUUGAUCCUUAUUUUUACAAAGUAAUUCUAUUUAUAUUAACGUAUUUAAAUGAUAUAAUGUGAUUAUAUCCAGCUCUUUACUAUUCACGUAUUUCAUCUCAAAAUAUUGGAGUAUUUAUUUUCUCAUUUAAAAACAUAGUAAGAACGUCAUUACUAUCAUUAAGUAGUAUUAUUGUUAUUAACUAAUAUUACUUAACAAUAUUAAAACUCAUUUAACUAAUAUUACUAUCAUUGAGUUAUAUUACUAUCAUAUAUAUAUAACAAACUAAUAUUCCUAUCAUUAAGUAAUAUUCCUAAUAAACUAAUUAUAUACAAACUUAUUACCAACUUAGCUUAUUCAUCUUAACAAACUAAUUAUAUAUAACAAUCUAAAUGCCGCAUGAAUACACUACACACUUAAAGUUAGGAAAUGCAUGCAAGAAAUACACUUACACACUUAAACUCUAAUUAAAGGCCAUGGAUGAAUACACUACACACUAAAGGCAUGGAAUGAAAGCCACAUGAGUUUGGUAAAUGGCUGAGUAACCAUGUGAAAUUUCACUUAUAGAUAGAUGCCGUACAAAUGAUAAAGGCUGAGCAACUAGUAAAACGAUCAUGCUUGAAAUUCCUUACACUAAGUAAAUAAGGCAUGCGUGAAAUGACCAUUCAAUGAAGGCAGACAUAAGUAUAUGAGAAGAGCAUGCAUGAAUAUAUCACAAAGGAUAGGGUGGGUGUGUGAAAUGAAGGCAAUGGAACAAAACUAUGCAUGCAGGGCUGGAAAAACCCAACUUCCAAUGGAUGAAAGCAUCUCAUGGAAUGAUGUGUAUGUAGGGUUUGAAUGUAAGGUUUGAAUUCAUUUGCUUUUGAAUGCCUUACAUAUUCAUUUGCCUUAUUGAAGAUGCCUUACAGAUGGAAGACACCCUAACUUGAAUAACAUAGGUCUCAUCAAUGAUAUUGGCGAGUUUAAUAAGGACUCGUCAUUAUCAUGGAGAAAUAUAUUUUUAAAAUUUCCAAACCUUAACUCGUCAAUACCAGAUGAGAUUUCCAAACUCUAACUUGUCAAUACCAUGGAUGAGAGGAGUCAUAAAAUGGUUUGAUGGUUAAGGUAAAUGAGUUUAAGAUAUGAGGGGGAAGGAGGUUGUGGGUUCGAGACUCACCUAUAGCAAAUUUAAAAAAGAGUUAUAAAGUGGUAUGAUGGUUAGGGUGUAGUGGAGGAGAUUGAAGGUUCAAGUUUUGUACACAACAAAUACUAAUAUACUAACAAUUGUCGAUAUAAAUAAACAUAACAAUUACUUUUAAAACUUGUGAUUGCUUAUCUAAUUAAAUAAACUAGGUAUAAACAAGUAUCAAGUACAUAAACAUCAUAUAUACCUAUAUAUUAAUUAAAUACAGUACUAUAUAUAAACAUCAUACAUAUCUAUAUAUUAAUUACAUACCAAUAGCCUCUGUUGCCUUUGAAUUAAGCCCACUUAUGAUGCCUUUGAAUUACAAGGUAGGGUAGAAGAUGCCUUACAAUAUAUUAUGGCAUAAGUAGAGAAGAUGACUUACAAUACCUUACACUUAUAAUGCCUUAGAAUUAUAAGGCAUGGUAGAAGAUGUCUUACAAUGUAUUAUGGCAUAAGUAGAGAAGAUGUCUUACAAUGCCUUACACUUAUGAUGCCUUUGAAUUACAAGGCCUGGUCAAAGAUGCCUUCCAAUGUAUUAUGGCAUAAGUAGAGAAGAUGACAUACAAUAUCUUACACUUAUGAUGCCUUAGAAUUACAAGGCAUGGUCGAAGAUGCCUUACAAUGUAUUCUGGUAUAAGUAGAGAAGAUAUUUUACAAUGCCUUACUCUUACGAUGCCUUUGAAUUACAAGGCAUGGUCGAAGAUGCCUUAUAAUGUGUUCUGGCAUAAGUAAAGAAGAUGUCUUACCAUGCCUUACACUUAUGAUGCCUUUGAAUUAUAAGGCAUGGUCGAAGAUGCUUGACAAUAUAUUCUGGUAUGAGUAGAGAAGAUGUCUUACAAUGCCUUACACUUAUGAUGCUUUUGAAUUAAUAGUCAUAGUAAUUUGUGAAGACACCAUUGCUGAAUGAUAACACAAGCCAGAAGCUGCAAGCUGCAUGGGACAACACACUUUUAGCUUCAUUGCAGGCCAUUUUAAAGUUUAAAUUGUAGCCGUUAAAUGCACGGUUUCAAUAGGAUAAAAACACCAAUCCACUGUGUCAAAGGCCUUCCUUAUAUCAAGCUUAAUUGCAAUGUUCCCUCCAAAAGACUUGCAAUCUAAAAGAUUAAUGGCUUCAGAGGCAAUGCAGAUGCAGCCAUGAAUAUGCCUAUCACGAAUAAAACCUCUCUGCUGAAUAGAGAUAACUUUUGGAGCAAUCAAGGCUAAUCUAUCAACCAUCACCUUGGUGAUUAUUUUUAGUUGGAAAUUGGCCAGAGCUAUAGGCCUGAAGUCUUCAAUUCUUAAAGCUCCAGGGAAUUUAGGGAUUAGCACCAUAGAGUUAGAGUUAAGAUUAGGCAAAAUCCAACCCUUGCUGAAGAACUGAAGGACAGCCUCACAAACCAGAGGGCCAACUAUCUCCCAAAAAGCUUGGUAGCAACAACCACCAAACCCAUCUGGCCCAGGAGCCCCCUCUCCUUUCAUAUCAAACACCACACCUUUAAUCUCAUCAAAAGAAGGCAAGCUGGAGAGAAUGAUAUUGUCCUCCUCACUAACUAAAGCAGGAAUGACAGAGGCAAUUAAAGAAUUCGGGGUAGAGGCAUUAUCAGAAGCAUAUAAAUCAGAGAAAUAAAGUAGAGCAUGAUUAGCUAUUUCAUCCUGAGAGGAUAGAAUUUUGUCUCCAUCUUUUAGAGCAGUUAGAGCUUUGGACUUUUGUCUAAUCUGAGCCACCUUAUGAAAGAAUUUGGUGUUUCUAUCACCCCUGGUAUGCCAUGAGAGCUUAGCCUUUUAUCUCCAGAAAUCCUCCUCCACCACCAAGGCUUGAACAAGAGUCUUUUGAGCCCAAAACUCCUCCUCAAGCAGAUCAGGAUUGGGACCUAAACAAUUAAUAUUAUGCUGAAUAUCCUUGACAGCAUCCAGAGCAAUUUUCACAAUAAGUGCAAGUUUCCAAAGAUAUUUGAGUUCCAAAGAAUUAGCUUCCUUUUGAGAAUCUUGAGCUUUUGAGCAAGGAUAAACAUAGGGCAACCAACUAAGUUCAAUUGCCAAACCUCGGAAACAACUCUUUUGCAAUCCCAAUGAUUAAGCCACAUGUUAUGAAACCUAAAGUGUUUAGGCCUUUUAAUUGAAGCAUCAGAAGAGUUAAAUAGCAGGGAUGGUGAUCAGAAGAGAUUCUUGGGAGAGUGUUGCAGGAGACUUGGCUCUAAUGACAAGUUGGACACUCUCAGCAGUUUUGGUUUCAAUGACAAGUUUGUCAAUUGGGUUAAGAUCAUUCUCCACUCUGCUAGGCUCUCCAUAAAUGUGAAUGGUCACUCAGUGGGGUUCUUCCAAUGUAAAAGGGGGGUUAGGCAGGGUGACCCUCUUUCCCCCCUGCUCUUCUGCCUUGCUGAGGAGGUUUUUAGUAGGAGAAUCUCCAGGAUGGUGCAUCAGGGCCUUAUCUCCCCUUUCACUAGGCCCUCUAACUUGGUCAUCCCAAGCCAUGUCCUUUAUGCUGGUGAUAUUUUAAUUUUUUGCAGAGGGUUAAAAAGAAGUCUGUUGGCCUUAACCAACUUGAUUCAUGUUUAUGCCCAAGCCUCUGGUCAAGUGGUUAACUUGAACAAGUGCAAAUUCUAUACUGGACAUGUCUCACCCAGGAAGAUUGCUAAUUUAGCUGAUAUCCUAGGCUUCUUUGCUGGUAGCCUUCCAUUCAAUUACCUGGGUGUUCCUAUUUUCAAAGGAAAGCCUAAGAAAAUCCACUUGCAAGCAAUUACUGAUAGAAUCAUCAUCAAGUUGUCCUCUUGGAAAGGUUCCCUGCUAUCAUCGAUAGGAAAGAUGGAGUUAGUUAGAUCAAUCAUCCAAAGCAUGUUAACCUAUAACUUUCAUGUGUACUCUUGGCCUGCCUCUCUACUCUCUUUUCUUGAUAAGUGCAUAAGAAACUUUGUUUGGUCAGGUGACAUUUCAGUUAGGAAAGUGGUAACAGUUUCUUAGCAGGUAGUGUGCUCUUCGUAUAAGUCUGGUGGCUUGGGGUUGAAAUCUCUAAAGACCUUAAAUCAGGCAACUCUACUUAAGUUGGCUUGGGAGAUGGCUUCUUCUGAUCAAGAAUGGGCUAUAUUCUAUAGGCAAAGAUUCAAAGCUAGGCACAAAGCUAAUAAUUCUUAUGUUAAAUCUUCAAUUUGGCCUGGGAUCAACAAAAAUUGGCCUACUGUUUUGAACAACUCUGUUUGGAUACUUGGGAAUGGCAUGAAUAUAAACUACUGGUGUGACAAAUGGCCUUCUAUUCCCUUAAUUGACUCCCUGAGCAUCCCCUCUUUCUUGCAUAAUUCUCUCAUGGCCUCUGUGGCUGAUUUCACUUUCCACUCCAAGUGGAUUAUUCCUAAGCCUAUUGCUGAGAAUUUUCCUAACAUUGCUAGAGAAAUAGCUAGUAUUGGUAUUUCUCUUAAUCCUGAUGUGCUUGCCUGGGAGGGCUCUAAUGAUGGGCAAUUAUCACUCAACGAUGUCUUCUCUUACUUAGCUUUGCCUUCUAAUCCAAGGAACUGGUGCAGAAUGAUAUGGUCGAACUCUAUCCCUCCCUAUAAAUCAUUCACUACUUGGAGGUUGUUGCAUAGAAGAAUGCCAACUAAUGAUCAACUUCAAACAAGGGGCUGCAAUUUGGCUUCUAUGUGUAGCCUUUCAAGAACAAUUCAGAAACCUCUAAUCACUUAUUCCUGGAUUGUUAUUUUGCUAUUCUUCUUUGGCAAUGGCUAAGCUCAAUCCUUUAGACACAACUUGAUAUUUCCUCUAUGGAAACUAUCCUCUCAAACUGUAACCAGCAGAGAAGCCCUCUUUUAAAAGGAGUGGUGGUGGCUGCCAUUAUUCACACUGUUAACACAAUCUGGUUUUGCAGAAACCAUGCUAGAUUUGAGGAUAAAUGGACUUCAAUAGACCAGGCUAAGAUUAAGAUCAAGCUUGCUAUCUCUAUAUCAGGAACCUCUUCCAAGCUUUGUGCUAAUCACUCUCUGCAGGAUUUCUAUUUGCUCAGAUCUUUAAAUGUUUCGAUCAAUUACAAUUUGGCGCCUAAAAUAAUUGAGGUAUUGUGGGUUGCUCCUCUUCUUGGCUGGACAAAGGUUAAUACUGAUGGGGCUUCUCAUGGUGCUCCUGGUCCUUCAGGGGGGGGGCAUUUUCUGUGAUAAUGAUAGUUCCUUCUUAGGGGUUUUUUCUUCCUACUAUAGCAUUCAGGUUUCUUUGUAUGCUGAACUUCUAGCUGCAAUUUCUGCAAUAGGGAUGGCUCAUAGGAAAGGUUGGUUGGCUCUUUGGUUGGAAUGUGACUCGGCUACAGUGGUUGACAUCUUUAAUGGCAAGUUUCAGGUGCCUUGGAAGCAACUCAAUAGUUGGUAUCGGUGUUAGGCAUUCAUGGCCUCCAUGACAUUCAAAGUCUCGAACAUAUAUAGGGAAGGAAACACGUGUGCCGACAAGCUUGCUUCUUUUGGCAUUUUUCUAAGGUUGAUAGUUGGUGGGAUACGGCUCCAUCCUUAAUUAGGCAAGACAUUCAUAGGGAGAAGCUUGGUCUUCCUAGCUUUAGAUGCAAAAAUUUGUAUUAAUUCUCUACUCUUUGUUCUUGUUGUGCUACUGGUUUCCUUUUUAAUAUAUUUCCGGGUGCUUUGCACCUAGCCUUCAAAAAAAAAAGGAUAAAAACACACUGCCCUAUGCAUGGUUUCAAUGCAUUGUUUCAAGGCACAAGGAUGAUAAUGCAGGCUUUAAAGGCAUAGAUGGUAAAAAGUAAUGGAGGCUUUGAAUGAUAAUGCAGUUCAUUUUUUUUUAAAUUACAUGGAACUCACCAAUAGUGUAGACGAGUCCCCAUGGAACUCGCCAAUAGGGAUACGAGUCCCCUUAGAACUCACCAAUAAUGUAGACAAGUCCCAAAACCCUAACCCUCCCAUAUAUACCCCUUACCCCAUCCACUUUAUUUCAGCACACUCUCUUCAUUCAACACUCUAAUAAAAAGGCAAAUCUCACGACACUCUCUUCAUUCACCACACUCAAAUAUCGGCAAAUUUCACCACAAUUUAUUUUACUCAGCACUCACCACAAUUUAUUUUACUCAGCACUCACCACACAGAAAACUCUUUAUUUCGCCCCACUCAAAUACAUUCAUUCGCCUCUCACCUAAACCUUAAUUUCAUACCCACUUAAAUACAUUCAUUCCAAACCUAAACGUUCAUUCCAGACCCACUCAAAUAUAUUCAUUCCAGACCCAAACAUAUUCCAAAUACAAACCCUAACCUUUCUUCAAAAUAUUUCAUUCUAAAUACAAAACCUAACUUUCCUUCUUCCUACUCUUUUAUUUAAUUCUUGAAAAUAGAGUACAUUGGUCCAGACCCAAACAAUACUUCUAUACUAGAACUUCAAAAAGACAUAUAUCAAAUAACAUAUGGAAUGGGGUUGGAUGUAGUUUAUGGGCCAUAUACAAUUUCUGACAAUCCCUACCUUCUGAAACAAUGUUUCAAGUUAUUUAUAAUAUCUUUUUCGCAAACAUCUUGGUAGUGGGAACAACAUAAUCAACAUCCAUUUACUACUAGCAUUGAUUGGGAGAUGGAGGUCAGAAACAUAUAAUUUUCAUUUCCCAAAUGGAGUGUGCACCAUUACUCUUAAGGAUGUUGCUUAUUAACUUGGAAUUCUCAUUAAUGGAGAAGUUGAGACGGGAAUGACGAGUAUCGAUUGGAAGGAAGUUUACCUCAUUUGUUAGGUGUUGUUCUAAUAAACCGGCAAAUAAUAGGACAAAUAAUUCAACUCACUUGGCUUGAGAAUACAUUUUGUGUACUCCCUGAUAAUGCUAGUCAAGUUAUUAUUCAACAACAUGCUAGAGAAAUUAUUUUGAGAAUGAUUGGGGAUUUCUCAUACCAGAUACAUUAGGGUCCCGAGUCUACCUAAUGUAUAUGCCCUUGUUCGAGACUUGCUAGGGAAAUUUCAAUACAAUUGAGGCUCAAUUGUGUUAGUUUAUCUUUAUCGAUGACUUUGUCGUGUGUCAACAAUUAGUGACCAAAAAGAGAUUGGAGGAUUCCUAUUACUACUUCAGUCAUGAGCGUAUGACCGUAUUUCGUCCCUUGCAGCAAGGCUGCAUGUUAACACUUUAGCAUUUUCUCCAUUGGUCAGAGGGCAUAUAUUUACUUACUACUACAACAUGUAACUAUUUAAUUACAAAUAUUUAAUGAAAUACAUUUACUAAAUUAUAUGAAUUAUAAUAGGUGGUCACAACAUAUGAUCACAACCAACAUUCCUCGACAUGCAGCUAAUAUUAUACGCGCAAUGUUAGACCAUUUUCGCAUUGAUCAAUUAAAUUUUAAUUAUAACUUAUUAGUAUUUAUUCAUUUUUAAAUUUCUUAUCAAAUUUAUUAACGUUAUUUAUCAGUUUUCCUGGACCCCAUACCACACUAUGAACAUCAUGGGACAGGUCCCAAAUAUUUGAUGAUCACGUGUGUCAUUGAUUUAUUUCGUAAUUGUGGAAUGAUAUGCUAUUGAUCGAGUUAUGAGAUAAUUUGACUUGCAGCAACCAAUUCUAGGAAAUCCAUCGAACUUUGAUAAACUCCACAAGGGAGACUUGUGUGGCAAAAAUGACUACAAUUGUCUAGAGGAGCACAGUAGGUGGAUAACAAUCUGAAAUGAUAUGAAAAAGUAUGUGGUAGAUGACUUUCCCGAUAUUGAGCCUUUGUGUAAGUAUUCACAAUAUAUCUAGUGGUACUAACAAGUAUAAGAAUAUAUAUAUAUAUAUAUACUAUAUUGGAACAGUAAGAUUUUAUUUUUUUUACUAAUUAAAAUUUUCAGUUUAAUUAUAUUAUUUAUUCCUAAUUUUGUCUUACAUUUUUUCAGUUCAAUUUUACAAAAUGAAUUGGUGAUCGGAGUGCUCCUCCAAGUGCUUUUGUAAAUCCCGUACAAUUAGUAUUUGACGUUUACUUUUCUAUCUGUGAAAUGAUGAGUGUAUUGGCUGAACUAAACUCUACAACAUUUUCUAUCAACUAUUAUGAAGAUCCUCCUUCUCAUCAUGUUUAUAUGCCUGAAAGUGAGUCUCUACAACAAACUCAAGCAUAUAUUCAUCCUUCGGCACAUACUCUAUCAACUAUUCCUCAACUACAAUAACCAUGUCGGCUAGGAAGUUUGUCACUAUUUCAUAAUUAUUUAUUCUCCCAUUUGGCAUCAAAUUCAAACAUGCAUGGAUCACUACCAUCAAUCUUUUCUCCUACUUCAAAUACAUCAUUAUCAGCAUAUGAUUGUCAAUAGUAUGAUCAUCCUAUUAUGUCGUCCUCAACAUUUUUGGUAGACAAAGUAAUGAUGAUAACAGGGUUGAAGUAGAGGAUGAUGACGGAGAAGAACAGGAGGAGGAACCACAUAUGACAACACAUGGUACAGGACAAAUGCAACAAAUCCCACAAUGGAAUGAACAAUAGUUAAUAGUUCAACAACAAAUUAAAGAAGGAGACAGUCACCUACAUGGGACACUUCAUCUCACAUAGUCGUUAAAAAUUCGGGAUUGUAAUAAAUUAGUAACAUAUAAUAUUUUUUUAGUCAUAUUUUUAUCUAACUAAAUCAAUAUGAAAUGAUAUUUUGAAUAUUUUUUGAAUACUUUCAUCGUAUGAUUUUCUAUUCACGUAUGUAUGAUUUCAGGGUUCUUAGGGCACAAAUAAACUCGUCAACAAAAAAAAAGUACACAUACUACUAGUCAACCCUAAUCAUUAUUUCAAUUUCAUUUAAAUUACCCACAAUAUAAAUCGUCAAGGCCAUGAACGAGUGUAAUAUUCCAAUGAAAUUGAUGACUCCAGAAAACCUACACUACUUUGAUAGUUAGUUUCAAUGCUACACCAAGACUGUAAUAUUCCAGACAAAAUGUAUCUAUGACCUUUUGCCUAGAAAGAACAAAUUACAGCAUCCUUCUACCUCUUCAACAAUUUCACGUGGUAGCAUAUCACUCCAUUACAUGAAUUGAUGAUUGCCACUCAUUUUAAUCGAUUUCAACUCAUUUGCGACCUUCCUUAUUUAUCGGUUUGGAACAUCUUGUGAACCUCACAUAUAGCUUAAUCAAGUCAAUAUCUAGGAUGUGCGUUAGUCAUAUUUGUUACAUGAACAUUUCAUAGAAAAACAUUUAAAAAAAUAAAUAAAUAGAUAAAAUCAUAUUAUCUAACCAAUCUGAACUAAUUUUCAGCUCUAAAUUGGAAGUUCCUAUUCUUCAGCUUUGACAACUUCUCCAUCCAAGGAUAUAUCUAUUUUAGGGUUGCCUAUUUUAAAGGAACCCCUUUUGAAAAUUAAUAUAAAUAAGCCAAGGAACCUAUGAUCAAUUCACCAUCUCUCAACAAACAAAACAUAAAGAUAAAAAACAAUAAAGGGAAAUGGCACGCUUGGCAUGUUGCUUGGUCUUGAUCUCCUUGUGCUUAUGCCUUGUCCUUGAGCCUGCUCUUGCCACCAAUAAAGGACUUAAUAUUAUUGCCCCAUCACAAGCACCAUCAUAUUUCAGUGUAUUUCCUCCUGCAAGUGCACCUUUUGCUAUUACUGUUCCAUCACAAUAUGUUAUGGCCAAGCAGCUAUGCCAGGACACAAGGAAACCUGAAUUGUGCAACAAAGUUAUCCUAGGUGGUAAGAUUGAUCCAGUCACUGAGGCCAAGCUUACCAUUGAGUUAACCUCAUCCUUGGCAUUAAGGGCGAGUGCAUACAUGUCAAAGAUAUCAACUCGUAAGGAUCUUGCAUCAGGUACCUUGAAUAGUUGCAUGUUGAGUUAUCAGAAAGCUAUUACUGCCUUGAACCUUUCAUAUAUUAACAUUCAAAGCAACCCCAACAAUGCCAUUCAGAGUCUCAGAAAGGCUGAUUAUCAUGUUGGAUUCUGUACUGCUUCUUUAGGUCAAAGAAAUGAUAUUCCUCCUAUUCUAAAGGCCAAUAAAGCGAUGCAGGGCAUGAUCCAAGCAAUAAGAUCUGUUGCUAAGAAACAAGCAAACUAAGUAACAUAUGGCCAGGUUGUGUCCAUUUAGCCUUGUUUUUGAGAGAUGGGGAAAUGGGAUAACAUUCUUAUUUGUUUGUACUAUUUUCUGAAUAUGGAUUAAACAAAUGGAAAUGAAAA
rnacentral:lncRNA from 1 species